rnacentral:rRNA from 1 species
CCUACGGGUGGCAGCAGUGAGGAAUAUUGGUCAAUGGCCGGAAGGCUGAACCAGCCAUGCCGCGUGAAGGUCAGUGCCCUAUUGGCGUUAAACUUCUUUUUGCGGGAGCAAAAAUGGUCACGUGUGGCCCGCCGCGAGUACCGUCUGCAUACGCAUCGGCUACCUCCGUGCCAGCAGCCGCGGUAAUACGGGGGAUGCAAGCGUUAUCCGGAUUUAUUGGGUUUAAAGGGUGCGUAGGCUGUGAGGUAAGUCGUCGGGGAAAUGCCCCCGCUCAACGGGGUGAAGUGCCAUUGAUACUGCCGUGCUGGAAUGCGGAUGCCGUGGGAGGAAUGUGUGGUGUAGCGGUGAAAUGCAUAGAUAUCACACAGAACACCGAUUGCGAAGGCAUCUCACGAAGCCGCGAUUGACGCUGAUGCACGAAAGCGUGGGUAUCAAACAGGAUUAGAUACCCUAGUAGUC